UAUACGUUGUAAUCCGAUUCACGCUGCCAUGCCUUCUCUCUACCUACCACUUUGCAUUGGACUGCCAAGGAGUAAUAUCAGUGACGUCGUCCACCAUUUCAGAGUCGCUAUUGAGCCAAUCGAUUUCUUCAUAAUGGAAUUACAGCAGAUGCACCCAUCUUUUACCCAAAGUCACAAAUUCGCAUAGCUGCUCCCUCAGUUUUCGGUUGGUCUAGUUGUAAAGGCUGUUGACACCUCAGAUUCAGCCUUGUAAUUGCCAUUAACUACUGAGAAUGUUGAGAGAGUAUUGGAUGAAGUUUGACCAUAUCUCAUUGCAAAUGCGGUAAUGUGGCAUUACAUGAGAUUGAUGGCAAUGGUGUGCUUUGAAGCUACAAGGAUCCUACGGCUCCUGUCCAAGUUCUAUUGUGACAAUGAAGAUGGGAAUCGAGUGUCACUUAAUAGAAAAGAUUACUGAAAUAAUUGUUGUAGAACCAAUUGCAGAUGAAGAAAUUGGACUUGAGCUGAAUGAAGAGAAUGCAGAGAAGGAAAUCUCAUGAUAGACUCAACCUUAGCGUUAUUUCAAACAUAUAGAUAUGUUAAUACUAUAUGUUUGUUUUAUUUCUCCAAACUUAUUUAUGGGAUUGUAUGUAUAAUCUUAUAUUUCAAUCUCAUUAUGGUUUAUAUUGAC